GUGCUCACUUCGGCAGCACAUAUACUAAAAUUGGAAUGAUACAGAGAAGAUUAGCAUGGCCCCUGCGCAAGGAAGAAUAUUUGAUGUGGUCACCAGCCCGCAGUGUCU